GCAUUCCCCGGUAGCUCAGCGGUAGAGUGGCUCGCUGUUAACGAGACGGUCGCAGGUUCGAUCCCUGCCCGGAGGCA
rnacentral:tRNA from 1 species